UUAUAAUUUCAGGUCUGACCUGCCCAAUGAGUAGUAUUAAAUGGCCGCAGUAUCUUGACUGUGCAAAGGUAGCAUAAUCAUUAGUUUUUUAAUUGAAAACUGGAAUGAAAGGUUUGAUGAGAAAAUUUCUGUCUCUGGAAAAAUUUAUUAGAAUUUUAUUUUUAAGUCAAAAAGCUUAAAUUUAUAUGGAAGACGAGAAGACCCUAUAGAGUUUUAUAUUUAUAAAAAUCUUAAUUAUUAGGAAGUAAAAGAUCCAGGAUUAAUUAUAAGUAUUUUGUUGGGGUGAUAGAAAAAUUAAACUAACUUUUUUUCUUAAGCAUUACAUUAAUGUGUGAAUAGAUGAUCUUAAAAUUUAGAUUAUAAGAUAGAAUUACCUUAGGGAUAACAGCGUAAUUUUUUUAAGAGUUCUUAUCGGAAAAAAAGAUUGCGACCUCGAUGUUGGAUUAAAAUUAAUUACUGGUGUAGAAGCUAGAUAAUUAGGUCUGUUCGACCUUUGAAAUUUUACAUGAUCUGAGUUUAAACCGGCGUGAGCCAGGU
rnacentral:rRNA from 1 species